GCCAGGCAUGGUGGUGGGUGCCUGUAAUCCCAGCUACCAGGAGGCUGAGGCAGGAGAAUCACUUGAACCCAGGAGGCAGAGGUUGCAGUGAGCCAAGAUUGCACCACUGCACUCCAACCUGGGCAAUAGAGUGAGACUCUGUCUCAA
ensembl:misc_RNA Metazoa_SRP Metazoan signal recognition particle RNA